rnacentral:rRNA from 1 species
UACGUAGGGUGCAAGCGUUGUCCGGAAUUAUUGGGCGUAAAGAGCUCGUAGGCGGUCUGUCGCGUCUGCUGUGAAAACUCAGGGCUUAACCCUGAGCUUGCAGUGGGUACGGGCAGACUAGAAUUCGGUAGGGGAGACUGGAAUUCCUGGUGUAGCGGUGAAAUGCGCAGAUAUCAGGAGGAACACCGGUGGCGAAGGCGGGUCUCUGGGCCGAUAUUGACGCUGAGGAGCGAAAGCGUGGGGGAGCGAACAGG